AAACGAACGUUUUCACAGCGAUUUCGACUCUAUUUCUCAAACUCAUGACUAACUGACGUUGUUAGUUUAUUUAAGUUUUAACCUGCUAAGAUGUUUUGCAAUUAAUGAAUAUGUACACGACAAUCGCAAUCACAGCAGAACCCACGUGAACCCAAGGACCACAGAUGACAGACAACUUCAUCCUUCCAAUUUCAAUUCAAGUUCUACUUCUAGAAUAACAGAUCAACAGAACAUCUUAAGACUUAUUAUUAUUAUUGCUUUGCCACUUUUGUUAAUUUUUGUCAGUGUUUAUAAUUAUUCUAUAGACUUUCAAUUUUCAUAAUAUUUAUUGCUUAUCCCAGAAAUAUGUAAUUCAA